GGCCUAACACAUGCAAGUCGAACGGCAGCGGGGGGUAGCUUGCUACCUCGCCGGCGAGUGGCGGACGGGUGAGUAAUGCCUGGGGAGCUGCCCAAUCGAGGGGGAUACCAGUUGGAAACGACUGCUAAUACCGCAUACGCCCUGAGGGGGAAAGGUGGGGAUCUUCGGACCUACCGCGAUUGGAUGCGCCCAGGUGGGAUUAGCUAGUUGGUGAGGUAACGGCUCACCAAGGCGACGAUCUCUAGCUGGUCUGAGAGGAUGACCAGCCACACUGGAACUGAGACACGGUCCAGACUCCUACGGGAGGCAGCAGUGGGGAAUAUUGCACAAUGGGGGAAACCCUGAUGCAGCCAUGCCGCGUGUGUGAAGAAGGCCUUCGGGUUGUAAAGCACUUUCAGUCAGGAGGAAAGGUGGCUAGCUAAUACCUAGUUGCUGUGACGUUACUGACAGAAGAAGCACCGGCUAACUCCGUGCCAGCAGCCGCGGUAAUACGGAGGGUGCAAGCGUUAAUCGGAAUUACUGGGCGUAAAGCGCACGCAGGCGGCUUGUUAAGUCAGAUGUGAAAGCCCCGGGCUCAACCUGGGAACUGCAUUUGAAACUGACAAGCUAGAGUCUUGUAGAGGGGGG
rnacentral:rRNA from 1 species